rnacentral:rRNA from 1 species
GAUGAACGCUGGCGGCGUGCCUAAUACAUGCAAGUCGAGCGAACAGAUAAGGAGCUUGCUCCUUUGACGUUAGCGGCGGACGGGUGAGUAACACGUGGGUAACCUACCUAUAAGACUGGAAUAACUCCGGGAAACCGGGGCUAAUGCCGGAUAACAUUUAGAACCGCAUGGUUCUAAAGUGAAAGAUGGUUUUACUAUCACUUAUAGAUGGACCCGCGCCGUAUUAGCUAGUUGGUAAGGUAACGGCUUACCAAGGCAACGAUACGUAGCCGACCUGAGAGGGUGAUCGGCCACACUGGAACUGAGACACGGUCCAGACUCCUACGGGAGGCAGCAGUAGGGAAUCUUCCGCAAUGGGCGAAAGCCUGACGGAGCAACGCUGCGUGAGUGAUGAAGGUCUUCGGAUCGUAAAACUCUGUUAUUAGGGAAGAACAAAUGUGUAAGUAACUGUGCACGUCUUGACGGUACCUAAUCAGAAAGCCACGGCUAACUACGUG